UACGUAGGGUGCGAGCGUUAAUCGGAAUUACUGGGCGUAAAGCGUGCGCAGGCGGUUGUACAAGACAGGGGUGAAAUCCCCGGGCUUAACCUGGGAACUGCACUUGUGACUGUACGACUGGAGUACGGCAGAGGGGGAUGGAAUUCCGCGUGUAGCAGUGAAAUGCGUAGAUAUGCGGAGGAACACCGAUGGCGAAGGCAAUCCCCUGGGCCUGUACUGACGCUCAUGCACGAAAGCGUGGGGAGCAAACAGG
rnacentral:rRNA from 1 species